UCGAGGAUCUUCGGCAAUGAGCGCAAGCUUGACCGAGCGACGCCGCGUGAGCGAUGAAGGCCUUCGGGUUGUAAAGCUCUUUAGUGGGGGAGAAAAGCCCGCAAGGGUGUGAUCUAUCCCAAAAAUAAGCACGGGCUAAGUUCGUGCCAGCAGCCGCGGUAAGACGAACCGUGCGAACGUUGUUCGGAAUCACUGGGCUUAAAGGGCGCGUAGGCGGGCUGUCAAGUCUGGGGUGAAAUGCCGCGGCUCAACCGUGGAACUGCCUCAGAUACUGACGGCCUCGAGGAAGGUAGGGGCAUGCGGAACUGUAGGUGGAGCGGUGAAAUGCGUUGAUAUCUACAGGAACUCCGGUGGCGAAAGCGGCGUGCUGGACCUUUUCUGACGCUGAGGCGCGAAAGCUAGGGGAGCAAACGG
rnacentral:rRNA from 1 species